rnacentral:rRNA from 1 species
UACGUAGGGAGCGAACGUUGUCCGGAUUUAUUGGGCGUAAAGGGCUCGUAGGCGGUUCAACAAGUCGGUCGUGAAAGCCCGGGGCUCAACCCCGGGAUGCCGGUCGAAACUGUUGUGACUUGAGUUCGGUAGAGGUGAGUGGAAUUCUCGGUGUAGCGGUGGAAUGCGCAGAUAUCGAGAGGAACACCCGUGGCGAAGGCGGCUCACUGGGCCGAUACUGACGCUGAGGAGCGAAAGCGUGGGGAGCAAACAGG